ACGUAGGGGGCGAGCGUUGUCCGGAUUUAUUGGGCGUAAAGAGCUCGUAGGCGGCUUGGUAAGUCGGGUGUGAAAACUCCGAGCUCAACUCGGAGACGCCAUCUGAUACUGCCAUGGCUAGAGUCCGGUAGGGGAGCGUAGAAUUCCUGGUGUAGCGGUGAAAUGCACAGAUAUCAGGUGGAAUACCGAUGGCGAAGGCAGCGCUCUGGGCCGGUACUGACGCUGAGGAGCGAAAGCGUGGGUAGCGAACAGGA
rnacentral:rRNA from 1 species